UACGUAGGGGGCGAGCGUUGUCCGGAAUCAUUGGGCGUAAAGCGCGUGUAGGCGGCUCGAUAAGUCCGGUGUGAAACCUUGGGGCUCAACCCCAAGCCUGCACUGGAUACUGCCGAGCUAGAGUCCGGGAGGGGAGAGCGGAAUUCCUAGUGUAGCGGUGAAAUGCGCAGGUAUUAGGAAGAACACCGGUGGCGAAGGCGGCUCUCUGGAACGGUACUGACGCUGAGACGCGAAAGCGUGGGGAGCGAACAGG
rnacentral:rRNA from 1 species